rnacentral:lncRNA from 1 species
AAAGAUUGUCAACUUAGGUCUCUGAACAGAGAUUAUCCCAAGCGGGCAAAGAAGAUGCUGCUUUGAUGGUCGCCCAGGAAUGUCUCUCCAGAACGAGAGACUACGAAGAGACCGCGAGAAGAUAUCGUGCCGCUCCUGUCAAAUCUGACAACCCAUAGUGGGGAGAAUAACUUGCUAGUAGUACUAGAUCGCAAUCAAUCAUGGAAUCAAAGGCAGCAACCCCAUCCAUCACUGCAUACGCUGGGCCUAGCUUACCACUCUCGCGUUCCUUAAUCA